rnacentral:rRNA from 1 species
CCUACGGGUGGCAGCAGUGAGGAAUAUUGGUCAAUGGGCGCUAGCCUGAACCAGCCAAGUAGCGUGCAGGAUGACUGCCCUAUGGGUUGUAAACUUCUUUUAUAUGGGAAUAAAGUGCAGUAUUUAUACUGCUUUGCAUGUACCUUAUGAAUAAGGAUCGGCUAACUCCGUGCCAGCAGCCGCGGUAAUACGGAGGAUCCGAGCGUUAUCCGGAUUUAUUGGGGUUAAAGGGAGCGUAGGUGGGGUGUUAAGUCAGUUGUGAAAGUUUGCGGCUCAACCGUAAAAUUGCAGUUGAUACUGGCAGCCUUGAGUACAGAAGAGGCAGGCGGAAUUCGUGGUGUAGCGGUGAAAUGCAUAGAUAUCACGAAGAACUCCGAUUGCGAAGGCAGCCUGCUGGACUGCAACUGACGCUGAGGCUCGAAGGUGCGGGUAUCAAACAGGAUUAGAUACCCUAGUAGUC